rnacentral:tRNA from 1 species
GAAAUUUUAGUUUAAACAAAACAUUAAUUUGUCAAAUUAAAAAUAUCCAAGAUAAAUUUCU